rnacentral:rRNA from 1 species
GAUGAACGCUGGCGGCGUGCCUAAUACAUGCAAGUCGAACGCUGGAGAUCUAGCUUGCUAGAUCGAAGGAGUGGCGAACGGGUGAGUAAUACAUAAGCAACCUACCCACGAAGACUGGGAUAAUCUCUGGAAACGGGGACUAAUACCGGAUAGGUAAUCGGAAGGCAUCUUCUGGUUAUUAAAGGUUAAAAACACUGGUGGAUGGGCUUAUGGCGCAUUAGUUAGUUGGUGAGGUAACGGCCCACCAAGACGAUGAUGCGUAGCCGGCCUGAGAGGGUGAACGGCCAAAUUGGGACUGAGACACGGCCCAGACUCCUACGGGAGGCAGCAGUAGGGAAUUUUCGGCAAUGGGGGCAACCCUGAUCGAGCAACGCCGCGUGAGUGAAGACGGCCUUCGGGUUGUAAAGCUCUGUUGUAAGGGAAGAACGGUAGAUAGAGAAUAUCUAAGUGACGGUACCUUACCAGAAAGCCACGGCUAACUACGUG